rnacentral:lncRNA from 1 species
UUAUAUAACACGCUCGUCACGUGAAGAUGUCGCGCGAGUUUAUUAAUUAUUUGGCGGAUCUUCUCAUGGUAUUUUAGUUGAUGAGACUAAAUUGAUCUUAUAAUCUGGAGUCGCCAUGGUUCGUUUGUCUUUCCAGUAGUGUAUUAUAUUGAAUACUGAAUAAGGACGCUAUGCUCAGAAUCAUACUACAACGUAUUAAAUAAUGAGAAAUGUCAAGCAUUUCUACACAGAGAUAUUUUCCAUUUGGCAUUUACAAUGGAUGGAAAAAUUGAAUAAAGAUUAAAAUCCAUCACUUAUUUCUUAAAGAAAGAUAUACGUUUAAAAUACAAAGAAAUGAAUAAGUACUCCACACAGAUUGGAAGACUUGCUUCUUUGUCCUGAAUAGGUAUCAAAAUUAUUGCAAAUCGUUAAGAAGAAACAUGAAAUAUUCUGUAUUUGUAUACGUCUUGGCAAAGUAGCUGAUACUAAUAAACUAACUAACUGGGGCUCAUAUUAAGAACUGCGUAGCUAUUAAGUAUUAAUGUAAAUCCUAAGGUUUGUGCUAAGAUCUAUAUUUACUUGGAUUUUCAACGCUACAACGUUACUGAGAGAACAUUUUUAGAUAUAAGAUGAAUUUAUAUGAAAA